CCCCACCCCCGCCCCCGUGAUCCGUCAAUCAGUGAUGUCCACUACAAUAGUUCAGCUGCUCAAUUCAAGCAUACGUGAAAUUGUCAUAAAUAUGCAGGCGAUGUUAUUUCGGAAUAUUACAUUCUGCAAACAGUUUCAAACUUGACUGAUUAUAAUGCAGUCGCACCAAUAAUCUCUUAUUAAAACUUUGCAGGCCAAAACUAGCUCUCCCGCUCUGGUACUGUUACAUAAACAUCGCACAAUUAAAAAGCAGCGCAGAAACCUGAGGUAUUCGAUAAAAGACUGUUGUAGAAAGGAAGUUGGGCAUUCCUGAACGACUCAGUAUUUACAAUUAACACGAGUGGUUAUUGUAAAUGUAAACCCCUGAUCUAUUUUCUAAACCACUAUACAGUAGAUUAUUAACAUAACCAGAACUGUGCUGUUUUUAUUCUAAGAAAACUUCGUGAAUGCGGCCUGGAAAAUCUGUUAUAAAUUACUUAAAAUCAAAAGCAAAUAUAUACCACACAGCUAUCUUGUGCGCCCGUGUUCACAGUGCGCAUUAUUUUUGUCUCAAUUGCGAUUCUUCAAUGAUAUUGAAAUAUACUUGAGUGGAGAAUGUGAUAUUAAUACGGGGCUACUGGGCUUGUCGUACAGGCCGAGCAAGAUGCAAUGUCCCUUUAAAAGGGAGUGGGUUAGAAACGCGUCCCGGCUUGGUGGCCUGCGUCUCGGUUCACGAGUCAAGUUGAAGUCGGCGGCUUCUCCGUGCGCCUCGGCCAUUACCGCUACGAUCACAUACACUUCGCCACACACUUGGACUGGAAAUGUGCUGUCUGAACUGCUGAACAUUUCCAGUAGUUUCUGCCUUUAUUUCGGAUUCCCGGCUUUCGCUUUCUGUCGACAGCAACUUGCCAGAGUCCUCUGUCCUGGACCAGUCUUUCAAGUUGGCCCCAGCUGAAUGAAUUUGGAAACCCAGAACAAGUUGGAUUUUGUGGAAAGAAUAGCAUAUUUCUACAAAUGUACCAUGGAGAGAGCAUUCUAAAUGUCUGGUAUGGAGGGGGCACUGCACAAGAUCGGAAAAAAAGCUACACAAACUUAUAAAUUCAAUCAGCUCCAUCAUGGGUACUCGGCUCCCCAGCAUCGAGGGCACUUUCAAAAGGCGGUACCCAUCAUCACGGACCCGCAUCACCCAGGACGUGCCCUCUGCUCACUGUUACCAUCAGGGAGGAGGGACAGGAGCCUGGAGACACGCACUCAAUGUUUCAGGAACAGCUUCUUCCCCACUGCGAAUUCAGGAUUCUGAAUGGACUGCGAACCCGUGACUACCACCUCACUAUUCUUUCUCUCUUUUCGAGCUACACUGUCCGGCCACCAUGGAGUUGUAACUAAUGAAACGUUCUGGUUACUUUAGUUACACUAGUUGACAUCAUACACCGGAAAAUGGCUUCAGUAGUGCUGAACUCGAAUAAAGAGGAAGGUUGGGAGAAAUGCAAUCGACAACCAUUCGAAAAGAAGAGCUUUUAAAUUCCUUUACAUUACGCCAGACUGAAAACAACCGACAGGAAACAAAAAUGUGGUUGAAUGGUUUACAUUUGAAACUUUUCCCUUUGAAGUGAAGGAGGAUGAGAGUUGACUUGUUACAGGCGUACAAAAGGAGUCCUCGUGCAGGAUUCCCUAAAGGUCGCAUGUGGGAUUUCCAGUUGGCGGACAACUUCCCUACACGGCGCUCUGACAUAUCGGGAAAUCCUGUACUCGGCAGGUUACAGCAAUGGUUUGCUUUUGCCUUCUGCCAACAAAUCGAUGAAAUACGUUUCAGAAGCUUUAAUUUGACAGAGAAAGUGGAAGAGACGAUGCCUCAGGUCGCACGAGACCAGGUUCAGAAACAGUUAUUACCCCCGAACCAUCAGACUUCUGAACCACUGCAAAUAACUUCAGUCCCCUCAGCUCUGAAAUGACUCCACGAGCUAUAGACUCACUUUGGGCCUAUUGAAUAUUGAAAGGCCUCGAUAGAGUGGAUGUGGAGAGGAUGCAACAGGGGGCAAAGACUCGGAAUAAUGUCCAUUUAGAACCGAGAUGAGGAGGAUUUCUUUGGCCAAAGGGUUGUUAAUCUGUGGAAUUCAUUGCCACCAAUGGCUGUCGAGAGCCAAGACAUUGAGUAUAUUUAAAGCGGAAUUGAUAUGUUCUUGAUUAGUCGGGGCGUCUAAGAUUACGGGAAGAAAGCGGGAGAAUGGGGUUGAGAGGGAUAAUAAAUCAGCCAUGAUGGAAUGACGGAAAGAACUUCAUGAACGAAUGGUUGGAUUCAGCUCCAUCGACUUAUAGUCUGCAAACGCUGCCUGACCUGCUGUCGUACUCUGGCAUUGUGUGUGUUGCUCCGGAUUUCCAGUAUGAACAGAAGAGAUUCUGCAGAUUCACCGUAAUCUUUUAACGUGGUCCUUCUGAUUUAUUCGCGUUUACUCCAGAUGAAUGUUCCUGACUCUGUUUGAUGUGGGGAAUCACAAACACAAACAUGAAGACCCACCCUAGAGUUCAUGAACUACUCCGGGAUGUGUUCAAUGAUGAAAAGCGACAGAUUUCACUGUAUAUUUUGAUGUACAACUGACAAAUGCUCUGUGGGACUGCAGUGGUUAGUGGGAUGCUUUUACAGCUUGGGCUGUCAGAGUUCGGAGAUCAAUUAUGACACUAGCUGUAAGGAGUGUGUACAUUCUCCCCGUGACCACAUGGGUUUCCUCCGGGUGCUCUGGUUUCCUCCCACAGUCCACAUGGGUUAGUAAGUUAAUUGGACAUUGUAAAUUGUCCUGUGAUUAGGCUGGGGUUAAAUAGCUGGGGUCGCUGGGCAGAAAGGGCUUGUUCCAUGCUGUAUCUCUAAAAAAAAAUAAAAUAAUGCCAACCUUUAUCUCUAUUAUGACAGUUUAAAUCCUCAGCACUCAAUAUUUGUGACUGAUGUAAAAUUAUUAGUUGGAAAACACUUGGCAUCAAAGUCAAAAUAAAAUAUAUCAUGAAAGUACGUAUAUCCAUGUACUACCUUGAGAUUAAUUUUCUUGUUGGUAUUUACAGGCAAAUAAAGCAAUAGAACAGAAUUUACAAAUAAAUUAUAUAUAACCAAGUCUGACAAACACCCAAUGUGAAAAAGACAAAUUGUGCAAAUAAAAAUGCUGAGAAUAUGAGUUGUGUACAGUCCUUGAAAGAGAGUCUGUAGGUUGUGGAAUCGGUUCAGAGUUGACGUGAGUGAAGUUAUCCACACUGGUUCAGGAGCCUGCUGGUUGAGAGGUAAUAACUAUGCCUAAACUUGGUGGUGUGAGUCCUGAGGUCUUUAUACUAAAUGGAUAUAGGAUUGUUAAUAUAUCGCAAGCAGUGAGAAUGGUUGCUCCAUAACUCCAGGAACACAGAUUUGAUCCUACUCUCAGACCGCUUUUGCCCAUUUUCCACGUGACAGUGUGGGUUUCCCCUGGGUGUUCUGGUUUUCUCCCACGUAAGCCCAUAUGACAUAGGAGAAGAAUCAGGUCAUUUGACCCAUUGAGUCUCCUCCACCAUUCCAUCAUGGUUGAUAUAUUAUCCCUCUCAACCCCAUUCCCCUGCCUUCUCCCCGAAAUCUUUUGACACCUGACUAAUCAAGAACCUAUCAAACUCUACUUUAAAUAUACUCAAUGACUUGGCUUUCACAUCCAUCAGUAGCAAUGAAUUCCACAGAUUCACUGCCCUCUGGCUAAAAAAUUCCUUCUCAUCUCUGUUCUAAAUGGAUGUCUGUCUAUUCUGAGGCUGUGCUGCCACUGUAGGAAAUAUCCUCUCCACAUCCACUCUAUCUAGGCCUUUCAAUAAUCAAUAGGUUUCAUGAAACCCCCUCAGUCUACUAAACUCCAAUGAGUACAGGCCCAGAGCCAUCAAAUGCUCCUCACAUGUUAACCCUUUCAUUCCCAGAAUCAUUCUUGUGAACCUUCUCUGGACCCUCUCCAAUGGUAACACAUCUUUUCUGAGAUAAGGGGCCUAAAACUGCUCACAACAAUCCCAAAUGUGUGCUGGUAGUUUAAUUGGUGCUGUGAAUUACAGUUCUUCUUUCUCAGUCCUUUAACUGUUCCACCUACCACCUGCCAGCUUGUCAUUUCAUUCCCACCCACCCACCUUCCCCCUGACCUGAUCUCACCUUUCACUUGCCAAAUUGUUCUCAGUCCCCACCCCACUUUCUAUUUUGGCUUCUUCCUCCUUCCUUUCCACUCCUGAUGAAGGAUCCCAGCUCAAUACAACAAUUGUUUAUUCAGUUCCAUUGAUGCUGCAUGACCUGCUGAGUUCCUCUGGCAUUUUGUAUGUGUUGCUCUGAAUUUCCAGCAUCUACAGAAUCUCUUUCGUUUAUGGUGCCAGUCAAUUACUCCUUAGUGUCAGCAAUGUUCUUUAAGGUUGUCAUAGCCGGGGAUGGGAGAGGUAGUGGUGAUAAACUCCCACUACCUGCUAAAUGUCCCUAGUGGUGUGCAUCUCGAUAGCCUCUGACAACAAAGUUCAGCUUCCGGCUUUCACAUGUGGCUUAGCUGCUAAACCCAGCGGAACCAUUUCUACUGACAGGAGAAGGAGCAAACCGGUUACUGGUGGCUUAAGACCAGUCAGAAGUAGAUUGUUAGCCAAGGUUGGCAGCUUAUCGAGAUGAAUAAAACCUCUGAUCUCAAACCUCUGCUGCCUUGUGGCCAAACCCACUCAUGGGGAAGGCUUCAGGAGUAAACUCUGAGGGAAAGUCCAGAAGACAGUCCUAUAUUGAGUUCAACUCCUGUGAUGCUCUUGGUAACAAACAGUAUCAGUCUCUGCCAUUGGUUUGGAUUCAUCAGCUGUGUGGAGAAGAGAGAGCCUGCUAUAUGAGCAACAGCUUGCUCUCCAUAUCCUACUGCCCUGGCUUACAUACCGUCUUGUGUAUCAUGUAGACAGCUGGGUUGCAACAUAUCGUACUACUCUGGUUUACAUAUCAUGUAGACAGCUGUCAAUCCUGACCUCAGUGUCAAAGGAAAUGAAAGGGAAGUUGGUGGGUCAAAGAGUCAUUCAGCACUGAAUCAGGCCCUUUGGCCCAGAUGAAGAUUCUCAUCUCAGCUAGUCCCAUCACUGGACACUCAGCUGUCACCCGUGCCUCAAAGUGGCUGUUUGCAAGUGACAGCAGCCACACCCUGAUACACUGCUUUGACAAGCAGGCUAACCAUGUGAGGGUAGCCAGUGGGCCACAAACCCAAGUGAGAUAGAGACAUACCUGUUCUAGUAUGUGAAGUCAGCUCCAGCAGACUGGACAGAUGAGAUCUACAGUGAAAUCCACUGACUGGGGUGGUCAGUUCUGCAACACUCUGUGGAGAGCGAAGGGCAUGACAAGGCACAGAAGAAGUCAUGGUCAUCCAUUGGAACCAAGGAAGAGCCCAGUUUGUGGAGACUACUUGUACCACUGGAUCCAGACUUCCGAAGUUGAGAGAGUGGAACCGUCAUAGUGAAGUAGCUUUUCCACUUUCAAAACUCUCCUGCACAGGUUUUUUGUCAUUGUUGGAUACAACGGAGAAAUAACCAGCAACUUAGUAAAGACCUAGACCACUGAUCCUCCGACAUAAACUGGAAACCAACUAAGGCAGGCAAGGAAUUUAAAUUCAGAGAAAUAGAUUACUCAGUCACAAAGAGCAUGAAACUACUAUCCAUCACACUAACAUCCUUCAGUAAAGCAGGAGUCUCAGCUCAACACAGAAGAUACUGGAGAGAAGAGCAGACUCAGGAGAGGCACCAGACAGAGGUGAUGGGCAGGUAAAGAGAGGAAAAUGGGUAAGAGGGGAAUCAGAAUGGGGAGUGGAAAACAGUGGGGGGGGGGAGGGGUGGAAGAAAUUACUGAAAGUUAGCAAGAUCAAUGUUUAUGCUAUCAGGUUGGACACUACCCAGACAGAAUAUGAGAGGUUAUUAUUCAUUGUGACAAAAGAAGAGGCCAUGGACAAACAAGUCAAAAUGUUAAAGGGAAAGGAAAUUAAAAUGGGUGCCCACCAGGAAAUGCUGCCUUUUGCGGCUGACCGAUGAGGUGCACGGUGAAGUGGACUCCCAAUCUGUGUGGGGUUUCACCAAUGUUUGCCUUCUCAUUCUGGCUUCUUCCCCACUAACUUGCUCAAUUUUUCUCUUUUUUUGCCCUACUUAUUUAAUUUCUUUCUAUAUUUUUCCUAAUGUAAUUGAUAUGUUUCUAUUAUUGUUAUAUAUUGCAAUGUCCUGCAGCCGAAAAGCUACAAAUUUCACAGCAUACUACAACUAUAAUUCAAAGACGAUCUACAACUCUCAAUGCCGAUGCACACUUGGAACAUCAUCCCAUCCCAGGCCCUUGUUAGUUCAGUUUCCUGCCAUCUGGUAGGAGAUACAGAAACAUCUUAGCCACAACAGUAAGACUGAAAAACAGUUUCUUCCCCAGGGCUGUUGUGCAGCUGAAUAAUGCUACACCCCGGCUUGUCUACAGCCUUUGAGAGUUACAGAGUUCCAUGUAAAUAUGGGAAUUUUUAGAAAAUUAAACUGUACCACAUGCAUUGUAAAUAUCUGUUUUGCACAGACUGGAAUAGCUCUGCAGUCUUAUUGUCUUGAACAAUGACAAUAACAUUCUCUACUAUUCUAUUCUAUAUGCCAGUGAUAAGUAAACCUGAUCCAUCGGUUCUAUUUGCUAAAGAGAUCAAACAAUAACCAGUGCAGAUAAACAUUCUCAUGUCAAAUUGAAAAGCAAAAUCCUGCACCUAUCAGAAGAAGUUGGGGCAUGCAACAUCUCAGGAAAGGGAAACAGAAUCAGCAUUUCAAGUCAAUGGUCUUCCAUCCAAAUCAUUCUGG